UUGAAGCCAAAGAAAGGUAUGCCUGAACUGGGAUGAAUGAACAAAAACGCGCCUUUGCCCCAGGGAAAUAAGGCCCAAUACGGAGUCAAUCAAAAUGGUGUUUACUGAUCCUUGGGGUCAACUUAGUAUGGUGAGCACCGAUUUUGCACAUCAACAUGAAACGAAAAGCAUAGUAAGCUGAAAUAAAAUGUUCCUUGUGAACAGAAAAGAACACUUCUCAUCCAUAAAGUCUCAUCACGCGUUCAUCUUCCUCUUCGUCUUUUCGAAACGUCAUGCACCAAUUAAAGAAACCACAACUCCACUUCAUCGAUUCGGGACUCAACAUCAUCAUCAACGUUCAGAUCGGUUGUAUGCGUGUGGAAACAAAGAAAAACGGAAUUGACAUCAGGAAACUCACCAGAUUUUGAAGCUUUGAUUGCAAACAUGUAUCAAAACUUUCUCCUUCUUUGAUUUCGAUUCACACUUCUUCUUCUUAUUAUUCACGUGCGAGCAUUAGAUACGAAUGAGAGGGAAGCGAAGUACGCUGUGAAUUCGCGUCGCCGUGAGUUUGUGGUGUGAGAGUUGCGAAUUACUCAAUCGAUUGCAUCAUGAUGAUUGCGCCUUCUGCGAUUUGCUCGCGUGUUUGCAGAAGCAGAUUGAGAGUGAAAAAGGCGUGUUAUGAGAUUCACGGCGAAGAUUGAAUGUUCGAGAGGUGUGAAAAUCAUGAAGAUGUGAGAAGAGUGAAUUGUUAUGAGAUAUUGCCAAGGUGAGAGAGUGAUGAGUGAGGAAGAUGAUUGUUCUGUGAAGGAAAGUGAGAGUGUUGUAUAACUAUUUAUUUGAGAUAGUGAGAAAUGGUGAAUGAUCUGAGAUUUUCUGUUUUGAGAGAAAAAAAGUUCCAGCUGAAAUUAGGAGGUGAACUUUGUUUAUAUAGGUGAUGAUGAUUCAGUCUUUAAGCAAUGCAUGACAUGACUUUAUGGUGGGCAAGGCAAGGCUUAUGGCAUCGAAAUGGUCAAAUUGAAAAAAAUGGAGUUUUCUCGAUCAUGAAGCAACAUCGGAUCAAGUAUGGAUGUAUAUGUAGUCAAAAUUAAGUUUAGGAGGAAGAAAUGUAAAAGUUGACUUUGAUCAACUAUUUGACCAAAAGGUCAACAGUUGACCAAAAAGUCAACUUUUGAAAAAUGUAUAUUUCUUUUAUUUCCUUAUAACGGGACAAUGUAUUCAUUGAUGAAUGAAUGAAAACUCAAAUGUUUGGAUGAAAUAAAACAUGAUUGUAUGCGAA